AACAAACUUUGUUCAAUGUUUCAGCCAAUGUUCAUUUUCAUUUCUAUUGAUAACACGCUAAUGGCAAAUAAACUUCAACUUUAACAAAAGAUUUCCUGUAAAACCAGCACACCCAAAAUAAACUUCAACUUUAACAAAAGUUUUCCUGUAAAACCAGCACAUCCAACAAUACAACACACUUAUAAUGACUAAUCAAACCUAAAGUUAUAACCUAUAAACACAUUUUGAUAUACCACUCUUAAUAGAGAAACACAUGCUAAGAAUCAAAACCAAAUCAAGGUUAGUCAUUAUUUACAGGUCCUCAAUUCAUAAACCAAAACUCAAUCGUGACAUCACCGUAAGAAACAACAGACAUAGCCAGAAACUCUAUCUCAAAACAUACAUGAGCCAAUCAAUUUUAACAUACGAAGACUGUAAAUGCAAAGAACAUAAACAUAACCAUUCACAGUGUAUCCUUGUCCGAAAUUAAAUGUAAACAGCAUAAAC
rnacentral:lncRNA from 1 species